UUAAACUGAAGAGUUUGAUCCUGGCUCAGAUUGAACGCUGGCGGCAUGCCUUACACAUGCAAGUCGAACGGCAGCACGGGUGCUUGCACCUGGUGGCGAGUGGCGAACGGGUGAGUAAUACAUCGGAACAUGUCCUGUAGUGGGGGAUAGCCCGGCGAAAGCCGGAUUAAUACCGCAUACGAUCCAUGGAUGAAAGCGGGGGACCUUCGGGCCUCGCGCUAUAGGGUUGGCCGAUGGCUGAUUAGCUAGUUGGUGGGGUAAAGGCCUACCAAGGCGACGAUCAGUAGCUGGUCUGAGAGGACGACCAGCCACACUG
rnacentral:rRNA from 1 species